UCCCUCCCCGUGCGCGUGUCCCUGGCUACCACAAACUCGCGACAGCUCUGCUAGUGCACGCGCCUCCUUGUUUAAAUCACACUGUUCACAACGUCCCGAAAAAUUUCCAUUGGACCGAAGCUGCCAUCGCCGCAGUAAAGCAGCGUAUGCUUCCAUUUCCUAUCUGAAUGACAAGAAUGCACCAGGAAUGUCUUCGACCUGGGAAACAAACUGGCAUGAGUGUCGAUGGGUUCUGAAUGGACACAGUCAAAAUUCCUCCACUGCUAACGGGAAUGCGACCUCUGAAAGGUAGAAGACAGAGGGAAUGUUGCUUUUCAACUGGAGGCCUGUGACCAGCAGUGUGCCACAAGGAUCGGUUCUGGGUCCACUGCAUUUCGUCAUUAAAUAACUGAUCUGAAUAUGAAGUAUGAUGCCACCAGACCGGAGUUUCUCUCGCAAUUUCGGUUGUAAAGCCCAAUCCCUGCUAUGCAAACAGAUCUGGUGUCCCACAUAGAUUGAUGGAGGUCUGUUUACAAGGACUGGAUCUGCAUUUGCUGUGCAGCGAUCUAUUUUGCCUCCCUUUUCAGCCUAAGGUUUACAUCCCAUGUCCAUGACAUGCCAUUACCCUGAUGGUAGCAUCUUCUGUCCAAUCAUUUCCUGUGAUCUGGAUGAUGUGAUCCCAUGUGUUGGAGAAAGACAACUGAGAUUUGUCACGACUAAGCCUUCACAACACCAUAUGGACAUUCUUAUUUCUUCCUCUGGGCAGUCCCUCAGCUACCGGUCUCUGAUCGAUUGAAGGAGUGAUGCAGGAAAACAUUCCAAUCAAACAACUUCACUUCCUCCGGGGAUACAGAGACCAAGUCCUCCCUUUGGCUGUAAUAAUGACAGGCUACUCAUGUCUCUUAAAUAAAAUCCCUCGUCUAUACCUCAAA